GACGAACCGUGCGAACGUUAUUCGGAAUCAUUGGGCUUAAAGCGUGCGUAGGUGGUUUGUUAAGUCUGAUGUGAAAGCCCUGGGCUCAACCUGGGAACUGCAUUGGAAACUGGCUUACUAGAGUGCGGUAGAGGGGUGUGGAAUUCCCGGUGUAGCAGUGAAAUGCGUAGAUAUCGGGAGGAACAUCUGUGGCGAAGGCGACACCCUGGACCAGCACUGACACUGAGGCACGAAAGCGUGGGGAGCAAACAGG
rnacentral:rRNA from 1 species